ACAAAGAUAAGAUUAGACUUUCUCAGUGCAUACGUAUCAGAUAUCUUUCUCAAAGGUCCAUUUUUAGCUUCAAACAUGAAUCAAGAGACAAUACUCUGCAUAAUAUAUCAAGGUUCUAUCUGCAUUCUCUCAUCUUCUUUUGAGGUAGAAAAUGAUUCUCAAAUAGGAUAUUUGAAACAAUUUAAGAUCAAUGCAACACACAUAAAUAAUAAUGUAGAGAGAAAUUCUCAACUCAAUAAUGCACAUAUUUAGAAAAGAUAAUGUCAUGUACCUCAUUGAUGUCAAUCUCAUGGCAAUUAGUGGUUCAAAGUGAGCUGUUUAACUUUGUUGUUGGAUAGAGAUAUUCAUCCUUAAGCUUUGCCACCAAUCAUUACUAUCAACAUUUCUAGAAUGAUCAUCUUGUUUUAUCAGAUAGAAAUUUUAGAACUUAG
rnacentral:lncRNA from 1 species